AUCUGCGAUAUGGACUCAAUUUACUCUCUCGGCUCUCCGGUCUUCCUCUCUUGCUUAGAUCUUCUCCUUCAAAUUUCUUCUCGACUAUCAGGCCAAGUUUCCCACUUUCAGGUAGCCUGACGGGUUAUGCAAGGAGCGCUGCCACAAUUGCCAUUGAGAUUGAGGCUGUCAAUACCAUACUAAACAAUGUUAAUUUUAAAUGACUAAUAUGAAAUCACCCGCCCUGUGGGCGGGCGGACAAAAGGGCUUAACCGUAACCUGGAUGAGCUAGCAUGGAGUUGAGCAAACACCUAUGGGUAUUUUUGUUUCAUCAUCGUAUGUCAAAAAACACGGGAUUUGUGAUUGAUAUUGGUCAGUAGGCAAGGGUAUCACUAUCAAUUGAAUGGAAUUCUACAUCUUACGCAUAUGCCCAACAAAGGAAAGGGAAUACAUUCACAUGAUUGAAAAAAGAAAGGUAUGGAUAGGUGGUAACUGGGAGAUUUUGUUCUCCUCUAUGUUCCAGGGUAAUUCAGAAUAUUGGAAGCAUGUCGCCAGUUGGUGAGCAUCAACCACUGCAAAUUGUGCUACAAUUAAAAAUGGAGGCAAUUAAAACUGGAUCUGGCUAAGGCUCCGAAUGUGUAGCGGCUGAUAAAGAUUAAGCUCGGUAGUUGGAUUAUGUACACUAACUUAUUUUCCACAUAAGGUUGUUUUGUUACCCGGUACUCUUUAAUUGGUUAGGUAGGUUAUGGCAACACGCCUUUGAACUAUAUUUUCUAUCCAGACGAACCAUGUUUACCAAAUUUGAAUUGUCCCUCAUUACCGUCAUUUUUUAUUAGAUUUGGAUGACCUUCCACUGCAGAAUACAACUUGGAGAAUGUCUCUCUUUUGUUGGACUGACUUAUAUGAAGGAGGUUACACGGUUUCUACUACUCAUCAACACAAUGAUCAUGAAUUAUAUGUAGUAUGGUAGUAAUAUUUUUAUGGUUUAAGGUGAUAAAUUUGGUUUUAUUGGUCUGUUAAUAUUAGGAAUUAUCUAUCACUUUGCUAACAUGUUUUAAAUUAUCUAUAGUUUUAAAUGAUCUUAAUCACCGACAUCCGCAUCAAUUACGCGAUAACAUAGUGUUGUCAUUAGUAGCUGUUUCAGGUUCUCAUUCGUAGGCAGGUAAUUACUGAAAAACUUUAUAUGAGGUCGGAUUCCAAUAAAUUUGUGUUAGAAAUUUAUUGAUAAUCACUUUCUAUGGCUCUUUUUUUUAUAUAAAAAUUCGUGUUUCGUUUCUUCAAUAUUAUCAUUUCUUUUCAGCUGCCGCCAUUGACAUUUUUGAGCAUAAAGAGAAGUUGUAUUCUUAUAUUCUUGCUCUUUUACUGCAGGUGGCCUUGAGCAUAAAUAAUAUGUUUGAUCAGUAUGAUAUAAGUUGUAGCACCUCUUAUGAUCUUUGAAAUGGUACACUGUAUUAAAGCAGUUUUCUGAGAUUUGCAAUGUAUUCGUAAAUGCCAUUAGUGAUUGUGUUAGAAAUUGAUGUGUUUUGUUUGCUCUUGCCCACAUUUUCCCACAAAUUAUUAAGGGCGUUUCAAAGUAAAGUUAUGGAAUGGUUUGAAAGUUGAAACACUUUUAAGGAUACUAAUAACCUUUGAAGGAACAGUUGUUAAUUAGACUGCAGGAAUGUGUGUGCUCACUUGAAUUAGAUAAAACACAAUUUUUUUUUCUUACACUUAUUUGUUAAUUAUCUGUUUUAGUUCCCGUAUUUCUGCCCAGCUAAUAUCUUCACUUUUUCGCUCUUUAUUGUGUAGAUCAAUCGGUCGCUUGCAAGGAGAGCUAUCAGGGAUUCGGUGGCCAAAGGUUUGAUCAGACUUGUAUCUGCCCAUUCCAGCCAACAGAUUUACACAAGGGCAACCAAUACCUAAGUCUUUGUUAUCUCUGUUGUUCUUACUCAUCCUUCAGGAAUGCAUUCUUAUGCCAAAUUUUGAAUCAGUUCAGUUUUGUGAUAGGCAGAAUGCUAGUGCUGCUUUUGUUAAGAUUAUUUUCUGACUGGGUUAUGUUUGCUAGGAUUAUUUUAUUAUUUUACUUUAUUAAUUGGUCAAAACUUGUUCAUAGUUGAUUGGUUUAACUUUAUACUA